GAUGAACGCUGGCGGCGUGCCUAAUACAUGCAAGUCGAGCGAACAGACGAGGAGCUUGCUCCUCUGACGUUAGCGGCGGACGGGUGAGUAACACGUGGAUAACCUACCUAUAAGACUGGGAUAACUUCGGGAAACCGGAGCUAAUACCGGAUAAUAUAUUGAACCGCAUGGUUCAAUAGUGAAAGACGGUUUUGCUGUCACUUAUAGAUGGAUCCGCGCCGCAUUAGCUAGUUGGUAAGGUAACGGCUUACCAAGGCAACGAUGCGUAGCCGACCUGAGAGGGUGAUCGGCCGCACGGGAACUGAGACACGGUCCAGACUCCUGCGGGAGGCGGCAGUAGGGAAUCUUCCGCAAUGGGCGAAGGCCUGACGGAGCAACGCCGCGUGAGUGAUGAAGGUCUUCGGAUCGUAAAACUCUGUUAUUAGGGAAGAACAAAUGUGUAAGUAACUAUGCACGUCUUGACGGUACCUAAUCAGAAAGCCACGGCUAACUACGUG
rnacentral:rRNA from 1 species